CCUACGGGUGGCAGCAGUGGGGAAUAUUGCACAAUGGGGGAAACCCUGAUGCAGCGACGCCGCGUGAGUGAAGAAGUCAUUCGUUAUGUAAAGCUCUAUCAGCAGGGAAGAAAAUGACGGUACCUGCGUAAGAAGCCCCGGCUAACUACGUGCCAGCAGCCGCGGUAAUACGUAGGGGGCAAGCGUUAUACGGAUUUACUGGGUGGAAAGGGAGCGUAGACGGCAGUGCAAGUCUGGAGUGAAAGACGGGGUGUCAACCCCCGGACUGCUCUGGAAACUGUACGGCUGGAGUGCAGGAGAGGUAAGUGGAAUUCCUAGUGUAGCGGUGAAAUGCGUAGAUAUUAGGAGGAACACCAGUGGCGAAGGCGGCUUACUGGACUGUAACUGACGUUGAGGCUCGAAAGCGUGGGGAGCAAACAGGAUUAGAUACCCCAGUAGUC
rnacentral:rRNA from 1 species